rnacentral:rRNA from 1 species
AACGAACGCUGGCGGCAUGCCUAACACAUGCAAGUCGAACGAAGGCUUCGGCCUUCGUGGCGCACGGGUGCGUAACGCGUGGGAAUCUGCCCUUUGGUUCGGAAUAACAGCUGGAAACGGCUGCUAAUACCGGAUGAUGACGAGAGUCCAAAGAUUUCUCGCCAGUGGAGGAGCCCGCGUUGGCUUAGGUAGUUGGUGGGGUAAAGGCCUACCAAGCCGACGAUCCAUAGCGGGUCUGAGAGGAUGAUCAGCCACACUGGAACUGAGCAACGGCCCAGACUCCGUCGGGAGGCAGCAGUGGGGAAUAUUGGACAAUGGGCGCAAGCCUGAUCCAGCAAUGCCGCGUGAGUGAUGAAGGCCCUAGGGUUGUAAAGCUCUUUUACCCGGGAAGAUAAUGACUGUACCGGGAGAAUAAGCCCCGGCUAACUCCGUGCCAGCCGCCGCAGUAAUAC